rnacentral:rRNA from 1 species
UACGUAGGGUGCAAGCGUUAAUCGGAAUUACUGGGCGUAAAGCGUGCGCAGGCGGCUAUGCAAGACAGAUGUGAAAUCCCCGGGCUCAACCUGGGAACUGCAUUUGUGACUGCAUGGCUAGAGUACGGUAGAGGGGGAUGGAAUUCCACGUGUAGCAGUGAAAUGCGUAGAUAUGCGGAGGAACACCGAUGGCGAAGGCAAUCCCCUGGACCUGUACUGACGCUCAUGCGCGAAAGCGUGGGGAGCAAACAGG